rnacentral:rRNA from 1 species
AUACGUAGGGGGCAAGCGUUAUCCGGAAUUAUUGGGCGUAAAGAGUGCGUAGGUGGUUACCUAAGCAGGGGGUGAAAGGCACUGGCUUAACCAAUGUCAGCCCCCUGAACUGGGCUACUUGAGUGCAGGAGAGGAAAGUGGAAUUCCUAGUGUAGCGGUGAAAUGCGUAGAUAUUAGGAGGAACACCAGUGGCGAAGGCGACUUUCUGGACUGUUACUGACGCUGAGGCGCGAAAGUGUGGGGAGCAAACAGGAUUAGAUACCCUGGUAGUCCACACUGUAAACGAUGGGCGCUCGUCGUCGGCGGCAGACAGUCGGCGGCCAAGCGAAAGCGAUAAGCGCCCCACCUGGGGAGUACGGUCGCAAGGCUGAAACUCAAAGGAAUUGGCGGGG